CGUGAAGUACAAGGGUCAGAUCAUCUACGCGAAAAUGCCGACGCUCCCACACCAUCGCCUCAUUAUGAGAGUGCAGGCGGGAUUCAUUCAUAUCAGCGUGGAUAACGAACAACCGCAGCAGCUCAAAACAGACGUAAGAACCCAGGGAACCGCGUAUGAACUCAAGGUAUCCAAAGAAUUCAAGAUUUUGAACUUUACUAUGGCAACUGGCAAAGGCACCACCGUAAAUGGGAUGUGUAUCCCACCUUAAUGGCUACAAGUAUUUGGUCUACAUCUGAUUUUAUUUGUACUUUCAACAAGCGAUAUCUGAUAAGUGAUGAAUAAAAAUAAUGAGCCGAACA